rnacentral:rRNA from 1 species
GGGAGUUAUGAAAUGUAAGUGCGCUAAUAUCGCAUUUAUUUGACAAAGGCUCCAAAGGAAGCCACGGCUAACUCUGUGCCAGCAGCCGCGGUAAUACAGAGGUGGCAAGCGUUGUUCGGAAUUAUUGGGCGUAAAGAGCACGUAGGUGGGUUUGUAAGUCAGAUGUGAAAGCCUUCUGUUCAACGGAAGAAUUGCAUCUGAAACUACAAGUCUUGAGUGUAGGAGGGGAGAGUG